UUUUUUUGCUUUUGCAUGGCCAUGUGGCGCGUUAUGGUUGGCUCGGCUCACCUUGUUUUUGUCCUCUAGCACCCAAUGAUUGGAUUUGGUUUGAUUGGCUUGGCACGGAAUACCAUGUGGACAUGUUUGACCAACUUUAUUUUUAGUCAUUUAUUUUCUUCUAUUUUCUUUUACUUGUUUAUUUUCUUAAAAAUAUUUUUAAUUAU
rnacentral:lncRNA from 1 species